GACAGAGGGUGCAAACGUUGCUCGGAAUCACUGGGCGUAAAGAGCGCGCAGGCGGUCGUUCAAGUCGCGUGUGAAAGCCCCCGGCUCAACUGGGGAGGGUCACGCGAUACUGCUCGACUCGAAGGCAGGAGAGGGAAGUGGAAUUCCCGGUGUAGUGGUGAAAUGCGUAGAUAUCGGGAGGAACACCAGUGGCGAAGGCGACUUCCUGGCCUGUUCUUGACGCUGAGGCGCGAAAGCUAGGGUAGCAAACGGG
rnacentral:rRNA from 1 species